GCCUCCGUCGUAUAGUGGUAGUAUAGGGGGCUGUGGACCCCCGGGCCGGGGUUCGAUUCCCCGCGGAGGCC
rnacentral:tRNA from 1 species